CGCCAUUGCCGUUGGCCGCACUGUAUUUUGUAUUUGGUUCAACAAUAUAUUGUUAUUAAAAUACAUUAAAACUUAGUGAUAUUGCUUUGUAUUGACAGGUUAUAAUUUCAAGCAAUAAAUACUGUCAUAGUAUGUGUUCUAAGCAAGUCGAACGGUCGAAAUCAUGAUAUAUACAGGCUACAAGAAGGUAUGAAAUAUACUUGAAUUAUAUUUACAAGGGCCCACAAAGGAAGGAUUGUUCGCUCAUACAAAGCCAUGGAACUUGCUUUGGCGAUUAGAUAAAUAUUAGCUAAAUGAGUUAAUAUUGAUACCCUUUCAAUAGUGAUCAAUAUAUUAAAGUUAACAAUAUAAACAUUUAUAUUUGUUAAUGUAUUGAUCUAUUGAGAGGAUAUCAAUGUUGACUCAAUGGCUAUUAAUAUUGAUUUAGAAUGUAAGGGUGUGUAAUCCAAGUGAGACUAUAUACAUUUUAAGACCUAACCAGGAACGACUGCGAAAAAUGCAGCACAAGGUCCUCUGGUAGGAAUUGAACCUACGGCCCUGCGAUUCCGGUGCAGCGCUCUAACCACUGAGCUACAGAGGCCAGCUGUUAAGCUGUAACCGUAAGUUCAUGUAUAUAUAGGUAAUCGGGUGUGCGGGUUGUGAUAAGGUGGACUUCAAUGAUGGUUUCUUGCACUUCACUUGGUGGAAUUAAUUUAGAAUGUAAGGGUUUGUAAUCCAAGUGAGAAUAUAGACAUUUUAAGACCUAACCAGGAACGACUGCGAAAAAUGCAGCACAAGGUCCUCUGGUAGGAAUUGAACCUACGGCCCUGCGAUUCGGGUGCAGCGCUCUAACCAACUGAGCUACAGAGGCCAGUAUAAUCUCCAAAGCAAGUUCUAUGGCUUUGUAUUAGGCCCUGUUUACAUGAGACCACAACAAAGUCAAACCGGGACCAUUUUGUUUUGCUCAUAGUAUGAUCUAUAAUAGAUGUUCACAAGCGACCAGGAUGAAAAUAACUCGAACAGACCAGUCUCAAGUCAUUCUGCCGGCUGGAUCAAGCCGAUUGACUUUAGACUGGCAUGAAUUCAGACCGGCAUGAAUGUAAACACAAAUACAUUUCAGACCGGUCUUGGCUGUAACCUUGAUAUUGGAACAACAUAUGCCAACAAAAGCCAUCUGAACAAGAAAAUUGCUUAACAAGGGGAAUAAAUUGAAAAUUUUGUGAUUUUUGUACUGAUCUCAUGUAAACAUGUUGACAAUUUCAAUUUUCCUUCCAGUUUGACUUCAUCCUGGUUUCAUGUAAAUGGGGCCUAAGAGCAGAACAAUCCUUCCUUUGUGUUAUCUAUAUUGUACUAUCAUAGUAAAUAGCUGUAUUUCUAUUUAAGGAUACAGGAUUUAAGGAUAAGGAUUUAAGGUUACAGGAUACCUUUUUUGGCGUUUUGCGGAAAAUCGCUACUGCGCGCUCAAUAUCAGUCCGAUUUUCAUCAAAUUUUCACCAAAUGUUCUCCAGUGCAUGCAAAAUAUGGUAAAGUUGUAAAAUUAACAAACAAUAAAAUAAUGUAAGAAUUAUUCAGGAAAAUCUUAAAUCGCGGUACCGUUACGCUUUUGAGUUAUGCUCCUGCUAGUUUUAAGUUAUGUUUAUGAAAAUAUCAUUUUUAUACAGUAAAAUAGUUGUUCUAAAAAAUUGUGUUCGGAAAUUUUUGUUUAUUUCGUCAUUCCGCUGAUAUGGCGAUUUCUUUGACGACUGCAAUAUAUUUCUGAAUUGUUUUAGUAAAUUGCUCUUUAUUUUUAAAUUAUCCAAAAUUAAAAAAAAGCCGAACACAGUUUUGAAACUGACGUCUUUAGCUAUGUCCUGUGAAAAUUUGAGAAAAAUUGGUUAAAACCCGCGGGAGCAUAACUCGUUUGAAAAUCAGUAAUUACCGUCAAAUUUUUCGGGAGAAAAUUGAAUUUGAGUAUUACAUUUUCAAUGUUUUUCUUAUUGCAGCGAAAUGUAUUUUAUUAAAUAACUCUGCGAGUUUUCAACAUUUUCCGUUCAAACUUGGUCAGAUAGUAGAACUAGUCUAAUGCUUUCAUGGAAACCAAUAAAAAAUUUUUAGGCAAAAUUAACACUCAAAGGUGUUCUGUAACCUUAAUAUCCAGACAACCCAGGUAGAAUGUUCCUAAAUUCCCUGAAUAUAUUGAGGAUACAUGUCUGAGUCCCUCAUACUAUUGUUUAUACGUUUCUGAGAAUUUCCAGGCUCACAAUUUUAUGCAUAAAGAAACUGUUUAAGGGGCCACGUCCAUAUUCAUGUUGCCACAACAACAUCGAAUCGACAUUAUAAGUGGGUGGGUUUUAUGUAAACUUAUCUCUGUUAUCUUGUGGCAAUUUGACAAUUAAUGCCAAUAAAUGAUCAAUAAUUGACGUUAAAUUAUUAAUUGACAAUGAAUUACAGUAUCUAGCCGACUCACCACAGAAAAUUACAAAUUGAGUUGCAUUAUGCCCUGAUAUGCCCUACUUUAUUAUUUUACUUUAUUUAAUGCCAGACUAUUUAACUCUGUCUGAUCCCAGAUGAUUUUACUUAUCAAGGGGAGAGAGCUGGUGCUAAUGGGUUAACUGUCAUAUCUGCCCAUGUGCCUAGUUACCCCCUUCAUGUCAACUAUGCCACAUAAAUUGCACCCUACUUUAUUAUUUUACUUUGUCUAACACCAGACAAUUUUACUUGUCAAGGGGAGAGGGCUCCCGCUUAAUGGGUUAGAGUACCAUUCAGCAAAGAUUCUAUUGGUUACAAAUUAUCUUCACCGGUAACAUAAACUUUCAUUUGGAUUGUGACGGAUAUAAACUAUUGAAAUGAUCCAACUGAAUCAAAGUAUGUAAUUGUGAGAAGUAUUUUCAAAAGUAGGUUGUUUAAUUACUGAUUGAAAAAUAAGAAAAUCAUUCAAAGAAAUUCUUAUUUUUUCAGGUAGUUAAACAAUCUACUGUUUGCAACUGUAGCUAGUGAAUAGUCUACUUUGCUGUAUGAUUGAUUACAGUGAUUACAGGUUUUGAAGAAACAAUUGUUUAGUAUCUGUGUGUUUAUAUUAUGGACAUGGAUUAAACAAUUAACAUAGAUUAAGAUACUUAAUUGAAAGAACUUAAUCUAUAUAUGUGUAUGUAUACUGUACAGAAAUUUAUUCUAUGUUUAAAUCUUUUUGUGUAGAGGAUGCUCAAACCCUUUUAUCAGGAUCUCAACCCCUUGUCUAUUGGUACUGGACCUCUGGAAGAGAUAAGUUUGAUUUCAUUGAUUGCAGAGGGAAUGUUUGUGAAAAAUUCAAAUUGUGCAAUAUAGCCAACAACCUGCAGUUUAUGAUAAUGCACAAUUUAUGAUAAUGAUGAUAUUAUAUCAUUAAUGUAAUGCAUGUAUUGUACAUGCAGGAUAUACCGUAAAUCUCCAAAUAUAAGCCCCCCAUGUAUAAGUCCCCCCCCCACGUAUAAGCCCACCACAUGUACUAACGCUCACCUCAUUCCAAAUAUAAGCCCCCCCCCUGAAUAUAAGCCCACCCAAAUAUAAAUAAGCCCACUUGUUUAUCACUAUUACAACUAUUUAUCAUUAUUAUUACUAUGCUUGUUUAACACUUGUUUAUCACUAUUACUAUACUUGUUUAUUGCUAUUAAACUAACACAAAAGAUUGUCCAUGUAUACGCCCAUCAAAAAUCGCUUACGAAAGAAUGUAAGCCCAGGGCUUAUAGUUGGAAGUUUACGGUAUUGUCCUUAUCUUUAAUGACUAGAGUGUAGUACGAGGAGAGUUAUGGCGUCACAAUCAUGGUCUAUUUCUGUGAACGUUUCUAUAUAGUGUAAACCUUAGGUGCAAUAACUCUGAAUUUACUAUAAACUUCAUAUAUGACAUAGAUAAGUAAUGCUGUAAAGUAUAAUGUAAAUAAAUUUUUCAACAGAUUAUUUUAUUAAUUGUUUUGUGUGUUGGAUAGAAGGGAUAUACAUUUUUAAUAUUCGG